rnacentral:lncRNA from 1 species
AAACACAAUAUUAUGGGGAUUAGGAUUCCGGCUCGGGCAUUUCCGGGACUUCGCCAUCUCUGCAAGUUUUUGCUUUCCGGUAAGAAUUCUUCUCGGGGGCAUUUUGGACCUGCAAAAAAUAGCAAUAUUUCGAACUUUUGAGUUAGAAAAAUCUGAACCCGUGGUUACGACCGGGAUGGCGAGGUGAGAAAUAUUUGUGAAGGGUGUUUGAGCUAUAUGUGAGUGGAACUUGGGUGCAUGGAGGGUUUUG